GUACUAUUUGAACACAAACGUGUAUUACGUGUAUUAGAAAUAAUAAAUAUUAUAAGUACAAUUUAGUAUUAUAUAAAUAUUAUAUAAUACUAAAUUGCAUAAAUUGUUAUUGAAAGUUAAAACAUAAUAUACUAAAAUAUUAUCUUUUUUUAUAUAAUACAGAAACUAAUUGUAUUGUAGAAUGUGUAUGGUACUGACAAUGAUAUGAUUGUAUAAUAUAGGAAUCAUUUACGUCUAUGACUACAUUUGAACGAAACGAAAUUAUUGAGACUCACCCCAUGAGACACAAACGUGAAAAUGGUUUAAAUUGAAAGUCACAAUUAAAAAUGUAUGUCAUACUCGUUGAGGGUACUUACAGCAGUGUUUCCGUUUUAUCCCUUGCUCGACCAAUCUAUUCUGAUUUUACUUACCGAGUAUAUUGAGAAUGAUGAUGGCUACGUCUUAAAAGUAGAAACGAAAGCAUUGGCAACAAGUAGCUACUAUUUAUUUUAAACAAUAUCUGAUGUGUUCAACAUUAAUUACUACAUACCUAACUGCAUACUAUCGUUUACUUUGUAAACAUGAGAUUAUCGAAACAUACAAUCCAAGCAUGAGCCAUUUUGCGACGUGCUAGGAUUGCGUGGAGCUUCAAUCUAAGGGUGCAGUCAUGUAAGUAGUCGAUGAGCAAGAAGAGAGAAGAAAGAAGACAGAAGAAAAGAAGAAAUUAUUUACUUGGAGGUCACGCGUAUUCUUGGGGAAUUAACACACAUUACGAGAUGUUAUUGCUUGAGAAUACACGUAGCUGACAAGGAGUCACUCAUCGCCAGAGCCAGUGUUGAACAGAUCGUGUGGUGAGGCCUAUGGAGUCGCCGUGUCGGCACGGCGGCUUUAUAGACUUUCGCAGCUGCAGUGAUACUUAUGUUUAUGGACUGUAAUUUUUUUUUUAAUAGUGAUCUUCGAUGUUUUCAUGCCAUUGCCUAUGAUAAGGUUUCAGUUUGCUGGGAGUACGAGUGAGUAUACAUUGGUCAUAGAAAAGAGAAGACUUAGAAGGAGAAUAUUUAAAGCAAACAAUCUGGUUGGAAAACUAUUUGUCUAGGUGAGGGCGUCGCUGCUGUUGGAAUAAAUUUGACAAGAAAAUUACAUUACAAAUAGUUUUUAAUCUUUAUCGAGUAACUUUGUCAUCGUGUCACUUCAAUUAUAAUCAAGCAACGUAGACUGCUUGUUUAUUCGCAAUAAUGUUCAUCAAAAUCUACUAAUACCUAUUAUCAAAAAUGAUUAGAUUAUGAAGAACAGAAAAUUUAUGAAUAUCAAAAAUGUAAUCUGAUACUCGAUAAUUUCAUUUGGCAGGAAAAGAAGUAGCUGACUACAGAGAGUAGAAGCCACAAGAGUCAUGAUUUUCUUCAUAUACACCACUGUUAGGGAGCUGCCAACGUCCAGAGCGGCAAAAGAACCAUUUUGAGAUCUUCAUCUACUCUACUUGUAUAGACUGAUUUCCCCAAUAUUUGAUUAUUAUUUCAAAUGAUAUUUUGGAUGAUGAUUUAAGAUUUUAUAUAUCUCUUAAAAAUUGUGACUUAGAAUUAACUUAGGUACCGAAUUAAUUAACUGAUUAUUGAACAAUAUGCGUGUAUAUAAAAUAUGAAUUCUGUAUCUAAAGGCGUAUUCUAGUACCAUCUCUUUUGAUAUAAUAUUACAAGUGUAUUUAUAUCAUUAAUAAAUUUCGUAAAUAUUU